rnacentral:rRNA from 1 species
UCGAGCGGCAGCGACUUAACUGAACCUUCGGGGAACGUUAAGGGCGGCGAGCGGCGGACGGGUGAGUAAUGCCUGGGAAUAUGCCCUGAUGUGGGGGAUAACUAUUGGAAACGAUAGCUAAUACCGCAUAAUCUCUUCGGAGCAAAGAGGGGGACCUUCUGGCCUCUCGCGUCAGGAUUAGCCCAGGUGGGAUUAGCUUGUUGGUGAGGUAAUGGCUCACCAAGGCAACGAUCCCUAGCUGGUCUGAGAGGAUGAUCAGCCACACUGGAACUGAGACACGGUCCAGACUCCUACGGGAGGCAGCAGUGGGGAAUAUUGCACAAUGGGGGAAACCCUGAUGCAGCCAUGCCGCGUGUGUGAAGAAGGCCUUCGGGUUGUAAAGCACUUUCAGUAGGGAGGAAGGUAGUGUAGUUAACACCUGCAUUAUUUGACGUUACCUACAGAAGAAGCACCGGCUAACUCCGUGCCAGCAGCCGCGGUAAUAC